rnacentral:rRNA from 1 species
GAUGAACGCUGGCGGCGUGCCUAAUACAUGCAAGUCGAGCGAACAGAUGAGAAGCUUGCUUCUCUGAUGUUAGCGGCGGACGGGUGAGUAACACGUGGGUAACCUACCUAUAAGACUGGGAUAACUCCGGGAAACCGGGGCGAAUACCGGAUAAUAUUUUGAACCGCAUGGUUCAAUAGUGAAAGACGGUUUCGGCUGUCACUUAUAGAUGGAUCCGCGCCGUAUUAGCUAGUUGGUAAGGUAACGGCUUACCAAGGCGACGAUACGUAGCCGACCAGAGAGGGUGAUCGGCCACACUGUAACUGAGACACGGUCCAGACUCCUACGGGAGGCAGCAGUAGGGAAUCUUCCGCAAUGGGCGAAAGCCUGACGGAGCAACGCCGCGUGAGUGAUGAAGGUCUUCGGAUCGUAAAACUCUGUUGUUAGGGAAGAACAAAUUUGUUAGUAACUGAACAAGUCUUGACGGUACCUAACCAGAAAGCCACGGCUAACUACGUGCCAGCCGCCGCUGUAA